rnacentral:lncRNA from 1 species
AGAGCAGAGGCACAGGUUGACCGAUGCUGACCCUGGGUCCACUCACCCUGUCAGAGAACAGAGCUCUGGAGUGAAUCCAGAAGGAGAGUUCCAGAGAGUUCCUGUCUCACCUCUCACUUGCACUGGCCUCUGUCUCCCUGGUAUUGAGGUCACUUUCAACACCCAUCUGACAUUCCUCCUCUAAAAAUAAACUGGGAAACCCAUUUUCCAAAGUUACUUACAAAUCCAUGACAACAUAUCGAUAAUUUCUGUUUAGACCAUCUAGAACUUUCAUAUCCUCUGAUGUCAACUGGAAUUCAAAAACCUACCAAAGAAGUAGAAAAUGUUUAUUCUUAGAUUGCAUAAUUGUCAACUUGGAAUAGCCAAGUAUAUCACACAGUAGGGUGUAGAGGCAAUAUGUAAAAUACUUGAUAAGUUUCCAAAAGUUAUGAAAGACCAUCUCUAAACUCUCAAGUGAUUAAAGAAUAUCAGAUAAAAUAUAAAUCUAUUCCUAGAUAUUACAUAUUGAAACUGCACAAAACUGAAGAAAAGAUCUCAACAGAAACUAAAGAUGGAACGAAGUUGACCUUAUGUGCACAUGAUUGGUUCAUGUACUUAGAUUCAGAAGAAUCUAGAGAAAUUUUGAAAUGUAUAAUUUAGACAGUUUGAUGGUGAUACAAUUUGGAUAUUUGUCCCCUCCUAAUCUCAUGUUAAAAAGUAAUUCCCCAAUGAUGGAAGUGGGUCCUGGUGGGAGGUGUUUGUGCCCUGGGGGCAUCCCUCAUGAAUGGCUGGGUGCCCUCCCCAUGGUAAUGAGUGUUCACUGCAUUAGUUCACAUGAAAUCUGGUUUAAAAAGGAGCCUGACAUUUUCUUUUUUUCCCUCUUCAUCUCUUGUUAUUUGAUAUGUUUCCUCCUCUGUCACCUUCUACCACGAGUAAAUGCUUCCUGAGCCCUCACCAAAACUAAAUGCUGGUGCCAUGAUUUUUGUACAGUCUGCAAAAUGGACUUUGUGGAAGUCUGAACUUAGUGAUGACUAAGGGUAUCUGGUGGAAGAAAUUUCUAAGCAGGAAAACAUUCAAGAGAUAGUGUGACUGCUUCUAACAGCCUAUGAUCAGGUAUGGGUGCAAAGGAAUGACCUAAUGUUGGAACUUAAAGCUUCCUGAAGCCUCUCCAGAAUGAGAUGCUGGUGCUAUGCUUUUUGUACAGCCUGCAAAUUGUGAGCCAAAUAUAGCUCUUUUCUGUAUAAA